CCUACGGGCGGCUGCAGUAGGGAAUCUUCCACAAUGGACGAAAGUCUGAUGGAGCAACGCCGCGUGGGUGAUGAAGGGUUUCGGCUCGUAAAACACUGUUGUAAGAGAAGAAUGACAUUGAGAGUAACUGGUCAGUGUGUGACGGUAUCUUACCAGAAAGGAACGGCUAAAUACGUGCCAGCAGCUGCGGCAAUACGUAUGUGCCAAGCGUUGUCCGGAUUUAUUGGGCGUAAAGCGAGCGCAGACGGUUGUUUAGGUCGGAAGUGAAGGCCCACGGUUAAACUGUGGAAGUGCUUUGGAAACUGGAUAACUGGAGUGCAGUAGAGGAGGGUGGAACUCCAUGUGUAGCGGUGAAAUGCGUAGAUAUAUGGAAGAACACCAGUGGCGAAGGCGGCUCUCGGGACUGUAACUGACGUGGGGGCUCGAAAGUGUGGGUAGCAAACAGGAUGAGUACCCCGGUAGUC
rnacentral:rRNA from 1 species